rnacentral:rRNA from 1 species
GAUCAUGGCUCAGGACGAACGCUGGCGGCGCGCCUAACACAUGCAAGUCGAACGAGCGAGAGAGAGCUUGCUUUCUCGAGCGAGUGGCGAACGGGUGAGUAACGCGUGAGGAACCUGCCUCAAAGAGGGGGACAACAGUUGGAAACGACUGCUAAUACCGCAUAAGCCCACGGUGCCGCAUGGCACAGAGGGAAAAGGAGCAAUCCACUUGUGANGCUCGCGUCCG